AUUGAACGCUGGCGGCUUGCUUUACACAUGCAAGUCGGACGGCAGCGCGGGCUUCGGCCUGGCGGCGAGUGGCGAACGGGUGAGUAAUACAUCGGAACGUGCCCAGUAGUGGGGGAUAGCUCGGCGAAAGCCGGAUUAAUACCGCAUACGACCUGAGGGUGAAAGCGGGGGACUUUAGGGCCUCGCGCUAUUGGAGCGGCCGAUGGCAGAUUAGCUAGUUGGUGGGGUAAAGGCCUACCAAGGCGACGAUCUGUAGCUGGUCUGAGAGGACGACCAGCCACACUGGGACUGAGACACGGCCCAGACUCCUACGGGAGGCAGCAGUGGGGAAUUUUGGACAAUGGGCGCAAGCCUGAUCCAGCAAUGCCGCGUGUGUGAUGAAGGCCUUCGGGUUGUAAAGCACUUUUGGCAGGAACGAAAAGUGCCGUGCUAAUACCACGGUACGAUGACGGUACCUGCAGAAUAAGCACCGGCUAACUACGUG
rnacentral:rRNA from 1 species